UUGGCGAUGAUGAUUGGCGCAGGGGUACGUACCUCAGCCGAUAAUGGGGGCUGAGUGUUGGUGCUUUUUCUGUUAGUCUGCAUGUGGCCGGCUGGCAGGGUGCGCCAACACGAUACAGACGCCGAGAUCUGAGCCUA